UUCUGGCAGCAGCUCACCAGUCCAUUGCCUCAGCUGCAAGGCGAGCAUGCCCCCCAGCCAGCACCAUCUUCUGAUGGGCGCUGUUUCUGGUGCGCGUUUGGAAAAGUUACCAGAAGGUGCUCUCUCCUCCCUUUCUGCCUUCCCCCCCCCCCGAGGAGCACGUCUCCGCAGCACUGGAGGCAGGAGCUUGCUACACGCAGGAGCAAAACACUUUUAGAGUGGAAAGUACAGGACAAUGGAGACAUUUCUUAAAUUUCCAGCAAAGUUCUGCCAAAAGAAAACCCAAGAAAUGUCCCACAUAAUUAAUUUAAAUCGAAGAAAUAAAUUCCAUGGCCCAUUUAAUAAACUUCUUUUAUUUAACAAACUUCUUUUUCUUUCCUUUGGUAUACCAAUUCAUUUGUAGUCUUAGCUCUUUGCCAAUAGAUGUCUGAUUUUUUUAAUUUUUUUGCUGGUUAUAAAGGUGCUACUUUUAUAUACUCUUUAAUUGCAGGUUUGUAAAAAUGUGAAAUUAAAAACCCCUCAUCCACAUGAAAAA